rnacentral:misc_RNA from 1 species
GAUGAAGAACGCAGCGAAAUGCGAUACUUGGUGUGAAUUGCAGAAUCCCGUGAACCAUCGAGUGCAUGGUGUCGGGUGUACCAUGAUGGAUGGUGGUUGAGUGAUGAUGCUCGAGACCAAUCAUGGGUAACUCCACCAGAAUUGGGCUCGGUGACCCACAUGCGUCCCUUGGAUGCUCCCUAAGGAGACCUCAGGUCAGGCGGGGCUACCCGCUGAGUUUAAGCAUAUCAAUAAGCGGAGGA